GAUGAACGCUGGCGGCGUGCCUAAUACAUGCAAGUCGAACGCGCAGCGAGAGGUGCUUGCACCUUUCAAGCGAGUGGCGAACGGGUGAGUAACACGUGGAUAACCUGCCUCAAGGCUGGGGAUAACAUUUGGAAACAGAUGCUAAUACCGAAUAAAACUUAGUAUCGCAUGAUAUCAAGUUAAAAGGCGCUACGGCGUCACCUAGAGAUGGAUCCGCGGUGCAUUAGUUAGUUGGUGGGGUAAAGGCUUACCAAGACAAUGAUGCAUAGCCGAGUUGAGAGACUGAUCGGACACAUUGGGACUGAGACACGGCCCAAACUCCUACGGGAGGCUGCAGUAGGGAAUCUUCCACAAUGGGCGCAAGCCUGAUGGAGCAACGCCGCGUGUGUGAUGAAGGCUUUCGGGUCGUAAAGCACUGUUGUAUGGGAAGAAAUGCUAAAAUAGGGAAUGAUUUUAGUUUGACGGUACCAUACCAGAAAGGGACGGCUAAAUACGUGCCAGCAGCCGCCGUAA
rnacentral:rRNA from 1 species